UUCUUCUUCUUCAGGCAUGAGAAUCAAGACACCACACCUGAGUAUUUUGACAAGUUCUAUCAAGAAAACAAAGUGACCUGUGACUUCUCCUUGGUAGAUGUCUCUCAAGCAUCUGGCAUUAGCGAGCAGAGCCAAGCUCACCAGCAGCUCCCCCUGAACCUCAGAGUCCGUGGGCAUGGAGGAUUUGGGAUCAGCAGCGUUGGCCCCAAGAUGCUAUUUCCCAUUCCAUUAAAGAAGAGUUGAUGAAUACACAUAUUCCUCCAAAGUGAAGCCGGGUGGCCAAGUGAUUUCAGUAUCAGAGAGAUUCACGUGGCUUUAAACCCAAGUUUGGUCACUUAAUCGUGUCAUCUUGGGAAAGUUUAUCUAACUCUUCUGAACCACAGAUUCUUCAUUUGUAAAACGAAUGGGACAUGAGUUAUUGUGGGAAUUAAGGAAAACAAUGCCCUUGAAAGCUCUUGACAACACCAAGAACUUGAGAGAAAGAAAAACAGCUAAAACAGAGUGUGAAUGAGGACUGAGUGCUUCUUUCUCGAACUAAAGACUCUUCACUCAACACAAGCCUUCUCUCUGACCACUCCUACAUUCUGCGGCCUAUUGGCUUAUAGGUUCAUUCAGCAAAGCAGGUGAAUGUGGGAAAGGCGGAAGGAACCCACCACAGAGAAGUAUCCCAAAGCAGGGGGAGGAGGGCCGUGAAAAUGUGGAUGGAGAGCCAGAACUACCACACAUAGGACAGGCAAGGCUUUAUGGAGCAAAAGACAGGAGGUGUUUUCCUGGAGCUGCAUGUCGCCUGACCAGGCAAAGGAGUGGAUGCUUUUCUGCAUUCAUGAUGGAGCUUCACUUCUUGGUGGAUUCUGACCAAUGAGCUGAGGUGCCAGUGUCCCUGGGAUCCACCCCCCAUCGCCCCCCUUCACCAUCCUCUCCUGACUACAGUUGGAAUAUUGCCCAGAUUCAAGGAUGUCAUCUCAACAAGCAGUAUCUCCCAGCUGCCAUGAGGGGAGGUAAAGACACACGAGCUCUUCAUUGCCUUCCCAAGGCUGUAUUGAGAAAAGGCAGUCAAGUGAGAAUACUCUUGACAUGGGAUUCCUGGAAAGGCCCUACCAGCUAUACCCCCUUUCAGGACUGUACCUCCUUCUCAUGCUCUCGACUUAACCUGAAGACUUCCAAUCCCCACCACUUCCACAGAUAUUUGGCAAUGUCUGGAGACACAUUCGAUAAUCAUAACUGGGAUAGGCGUGAGGAGAGGCACUACUGGUGUCUAGUGGGUAGAGGCUAGGGAUGUUGUUCAACACCCUAUGACACUCAGAACAGUUUCCAUAACAAAGAAUUGUUUUGGGGGCGCCUGGGUGGCUCAGUUGGUUGAGCGUCUGACUUUGACUCAGGUCAUGAUCUCCCGGUUCGUG